rnacentral:rRNA from 1 species
UACGUAGGGUGCAAGCGUUGUCCGGAAUUAUUGGGCGUAAAGAGCUCGUAGGCGGUCUGUCGCGUCUGCUGUGAAAACUCGGGGCUUAACCCCGGGCCUGCAGUGGGUACGGGCAGACUAGAGUGCGGUAGGGGAGACUGGAAUUCCAGGUGUAGCGGUGAAAUGCGUAGAUAUCUGGAGGAACACCGGUGGCGAAGGCGGCACCCUGGACCGGCAUUGACGCUGAGGCGCGAAAGCCAGGGGAGCAAACGGG